GCACUGGUCGUUUAGCGGCCAAGACACCGCACCCGUAAUGCGGCAACGUGGGUUCGAGUCCCACCCGGUGCU
rnacentral:tRNA from 2 species